AUGUCGCGCGGGCCUGAUGCAGCCAUGCCGCGUGUAUGAAGAAGGCCUUCGGGUUGUAAAGUACUUUCAGUCGUGAGGAAGCGGCGUUCGUUAAUAGCGGAUCUGUUUGACGUUAGCGACAGAAGAAGCACCGGCUAACUCCGUGCCAGCAGCCGCGGUAAUACGGAGGGUGCGAGCGUUAAUCGGAAUUACUGGGCGUAAAGCGCAUGCAGGUGGUUUGUUAAGUCAGAUGUGAAAGCCCGGGGCUCAACCUCGGAAUAGCAUUUGAAACUGGCAGACUAGAGUACUGUAGAGGGGGGUAGAAUUUCAGGUGUAGCGGUGAAAUGCGUAGAGAUCUGAAGGAAUACCGGUGGCGAAGGCGGCCCCCUGGACAGAUACUGACACUCAGAUGCGAAAGCGUGGGGAGCAAACAGGAUUAGAUACCCUGGUAGUCCACGCCGUAAACGAUGUCUAUUGGAGGUUGUGGCCUUGAGCCGUGGCUUUCGGAGCUAACGCGUGAAGUAGACCGCCUG
rnacentral:rRNA from 1 species